ACAAUUAGUUACAAAGAUAACGCAAUAAUGUGGUGGUGACUUGUCUGCCAAGAAAUUUGAGAUUAGUGUUGACUGGUCAGGGUUUCAUUUCAUUGUGUAUCAUUAGAUUGGAGAGGAAAGUCUGCCACACAUUGGACGUAUGACCCCAAAAAAAACAUGAAGACAAUCUUGCUUCUCGGCGUGGUCCUGCUUGUCACUUGCGUCCUCGGACAUGACGUGGAAUUGGGGGGACAUUGCGACGAAUCUGGCGAAGGGGAGCACGACCACUCCCUUUUUUGCAACCCCAGCCUGAACUUGGUCUGCGUGGCGAAUUUCUGCGUCUGCAGCGAGGGACAUGUUCCGGAAACUGACGAUGGAACUGCCCGCGGUUGUGUCGACCCCAACCCUACGACGACCCAGGGGGCUGCCACGCUUAAAGUUAGCGCCGCUGUUAUCUUUACUGUGGGAGCGGCUGUCUUUAAGUAUAUUUUUGUAUAAUAGUUGUUAAUUUAUUAGUUUGAUUAAUUAAAAUUGAAUGAUUAA